CGCGGGAUGGAGCAGCAUGGUAGCUCGUCGGGCUCAUAACCCGAAGGUCGUUGGUUCAAAUCCAGCUCCCGCAACCA
rnacentral:tRNA from 85 species